rnacentral:lncRNA from 1 species
CGAGCUUCUUGCGGCUGCUCUUGACAAUUCCCUAAAUGCUGCGAUUGGCAAGAUGUGCGAUCGAGCGUAUCAAACAACAAGGACAGGGGCUCCUUCAAGCUUGAUUCAUCCCCACAAAGUAACACGCCCUGCACUGCACGGUCCCCCUUACCUUUGAAUAUUGCCUCAACGUAUGUUCCUAGAAUCGUGGAAUCCAGGGAGCCGCUGCUUUGAACCGGACUCACGUUAAAUAUACCUUCCUAGCUUGUAGAAGAGCAGCUUCUUUGCAGCACCGUCCGUACCAUCUGCGUCCCGCACUUGGCAUGCGGGUUUUACGCAUUGCAACUGCAAUUUCUGGCCUGUGUCAGCUCUCUUGAGGCG